rnacentral:lncRNA from 1 species
CCCGGGCGUUCCUUUCGUGUCCCCUUGAAAGCCCGGUCCUUGGGCUUGGAAUGAGACGGUUUGGGUAAUUAUGGGAGUGUGGCGAGGCUCAUGCCUGCUUUGGUCAGUAGAAUACAGCUGAAGUGAUGUUGUACCAGUUUUGCGUCUGGUCUUUACAAGCACUGGUAGCUUCAACUUUCUCCUUCUUGGUACUCACCCACCAUGUUGUAAGGAAACCCAAACAGCCACGUGGAAGACAGUUCUAGUUGAGCUCCCAGCCCAGAGCCUAUCCCAACUCUCCAGCCAUACCCUGACUUCCUUCAGCAAAGAGACAGCUUCUGAUUCAUGUUCGUCUCACCAUAAUAUACUUCCAAAAGUUACACUAGAUGUUAACUGAGCACUAAGGACACUACGUGAAAGACUGGAGUACAAACAUCCAAAGGACUGAAGAAUUUGAAGAGCACUGAAUGUGGGAGAUAGGACAGAGGAAAGGAGUCAAAUGUCUCCAAGAAACGAAGCCUGUGUGCCCUGGAGAAUGAAGAAGCAUCAUCAAAUCGGGGAGACUGAAGGAGGAAUCGGUUUUCAGAGAAAAACAAUUUAUAUUGUCUUAGCUGUGUUAGGUGGCAUACUAUUACAUUCAAGUGAAGCUGUGUAAUAGACAGAGAUGACAAAUUUUAUUCAUUUAUGAAUGCCCCCCAAAAUAUAUAUAUAGUUUUUGCCCUCAUGUCUCUUAUUGGGAUGACAGACAUAAAUCAAAGAAUUCCAUAAAUAAAUAUUAAAAUACAAUUUGUGAUAAAUGCUACAAAGUGGUACAUAUUCAUAUGGAAGCAUAAAGAGAACUGACCCGCUUGAGGAAGCUGGCAGUGAGAGCUGAAGGUAAGAGCAAGAGUUGACUAGGAGACAAGAUGGGGAAAGUUCUAGGCAGAAGGAACAGCAUGUUCCAAAGCCAACAGCAUAGAGACAGAAAGUAGAUUAGUGAGUGCCAGGGGGUGGUGGGGAGCAGAGAAGAAGAAGGGGUGUCUGCUCUUGGGUAUGGAGUUUCUCUUUGAGGCAAUGAAAAUGCUCUGGAAUGAGAUAGUGGUAACAGUUGCACAACUUUGUGAACAUACUAAAAUCCACUGAAUUGCAUACUUUAAAGGGGUAAAUUGUGUGGUAAGCGAAUUAUAUUUCAAUUUUUAGAGAUAAAGAUAAAUGCAAGUUAACAAUAACCAGGAAAAAAAAAAAAACAUGCCACA